AGAAGUGGUGACAAUUUCUUCAAGAAGCAAAAUUUUAAAAAAAUACCUGAGAUUGGAAGUCCAGGAGGUCACUGGAAGUGCUGGGUUGCCCUCUCUCCACUUUGUUUCUCCAUCUAAAGUCUUAAAAUCAAGAUUCCAAAGAUCUUGCACUUUCAGAAGAAGAUCAGACUUGUUAAUAUGGUGGAGUGCAGUAAGUGCCAUUGAGGAAGUAUGAAGGCAAAAACUGCCAUGAAACUUUGAAAGAGAGAUGUCAGUCCUGCUUUGGAAUAUCAGAGAUGAAAAGGCACAGCUAGGAGCAGUCCUGCCAGUCCUCAUCACUUGCUACAUCCCACAGUUCUUAGUAAGAAGAUGGCCUUGUGAAGACACAGAGAGAACGCCUUGUGAAGAUGGAGGCAGAGAUUGGACUUAACAAGUGCAGGAACACCAAGGUUUGCUGGCUGUCACCAGAAGCUAGGAGAGAGGCAUGGAUCAGAUUCUCCUUCAGAGCCCUCAGAAGGAAUCAACCCUGCCAACAUUCUGAUUUCGUACUUCUGGCCUCCAAACUAUGAGAGAAUAAAUUCCUGUU